AUCUUCUCCCCAGACAGCCCAUUCUUCAGCCCCCGGGUGCAGAGGGAACAUACAUGGAGGCAGCUUUGGGCCACAUGUGGCUGCACAGGCUGUCUGUACCCAAAGGCAUCUGGCCUGGGGGGCACCCAGGGGUCGACGUCCAGCUUAUGCCAGUCACCAAGAUAUGGGCCUGGCAUGGCUCCAUCUUCCCAGAGAAAAGGGCAUCUCCUAAGUCUCAUACAGGCCCACAGGAGCUAGGAUCGCAUUGCUGGUGGGAGCCUGGGUUUCAGUUUGCCUCUUGGCCUUGACCUUGGGCAAGAGAUGCAAAUUCUCCUAGCCUCAGUUUCCUCAUCUGCAAAAUGUCAACAAGAGUGGCACUGCGGCUACUGACAAAGACCCUCCGAAGAUGUGCAAUCCCAGUCCCUCCAGCCCGUGAGUAUGUGCCUGUAUGGCAAAGGGGACUCAGAAGAUGUGGUAAGCUAAAGAUUUUGAGAUGGGGUGAUGACCUGGGUUAUCAAGAUGGGCUGCAUAUGAUCACAGGGGUCCUGAUAUAUUCACGGGAGGCAGCGGGGCAGAGUGAGGGUAAGAGAUAUGAAGCAAGAAGCCAGAUGUAGGAAAGCCAGGGAAGAGGCCACGAGCCAAGGAAUAUGGGUGCUCUAGGGGCUGGAAAAGGCAAGGAAAUUCUCCCCAGAGCUUCCAGAAGGAAACGGUCCUGCCAACACCUUGACUUUAGCCUAGUGGGACUGAUUUGGGACUUGUAGUUUCAAAACUGUAAGAUAAUAGAUUUACGUGGUAAGCUCUGAGUUUAUGAUCUGUUACAGCCACAGGAGACUCACACAGGCACCCAUCUCAGAGGGUGUUGUUAAGGAUGAGCCAAGCCAGUGCCUCCAAACAUCUGGCCUCUGGGGAACUGCAUGGAGCUCAGUAACGGGGAGCUGCUGCCACCAUACAGACAACGAGGCGUCCUCACCUCCACCCUCCCUCCGGCCGCUCCUUCUGGCCCUGGGGAGGGCUGCCAUCCCCAAAACUCCUGCAAAGAUAAGGGGUGACCUCUGACCAUGUGAGGAAAGGCAGGGGCCAAAGAUGGCCAGAUGGUGGAGAUUACAGCAAUUCUGUAAUCCGUAGGCCUGUCCACAGUCCCCAGACGAAGGGAGGUGGGGCAGUGACAUCAUCGUUUACAGGCUUUGGCUUGCAUAAUAGGUUUCAAGUACAGCAAGCGGGGAAAGCAAAAGUUAUUUUCAAAUUGGUCAUUGGCAGCUGGCUGGCCAGACCAUUCCCUAUGAAAAGCAGUCAUGCAGGAACAGACUUCUCUGUCCACACAUUUCCUCUGCUGGUCCAGCCCUCAACCUCUUCCGGCUCAGGGACAGCCCUCCCUCCUCCAGCAGCUUUGUCCAAUUACCUCACCCCAGGUGACCGAUUCGUCCUGGUUUGCCAGGGGCUUUCCUGGUUUUAAUGCUGAAGAUCCCAUGUCCAGAGAAGACCCCAGAUCCCAGGCAAACUGGGACAGCUGGCCACCCAAUUCAGCUCACACCACAGCGGCUUCCCAGUGCUUGGGUGCUUCGCCCUGCCUAGGGCAUCCCCUUUUCCUUGGAGUCCCGCGAAUGAGGCAGGUUCUGCCUGGCAGCAGGGCCCCACCCACGCUGACCCUCUGCCCAGAAUCUUCUUCCUUCUGGUUUAUCACGGCUGGCCCUGCUCAGGGGCCUUGACUACCCCCUCUACAACAAAGCCUGCUUGGCGUGCUAUGUAUGGACAUAUACCAGAGCAGCUGAGAAGUCCCAGCCCAGGCCUGAACAAGGCACCGGGCCACAUGAGCUCUCUUCCUCCAAAGUUUCCUCCACAAAGACCUGCUGGGCGUGUGCUGGGCGCCAGGCUCUGGACAGGGAGAUGGACAAUAAAGAAACAAACAAGCUCACAUGGCAGCAGGUAUGAUGAAAAGAGAAGAAAAACCAUCACAUUUGCCGACGAGGGGACCGGGAAGAAAGCAGGCCCACAGCUCCCAUCGCUCCCCAAGGCUUCCUGCCAGGCCUGGAAGAUGCGGCCAAAGGUUAACUCAUCAAAGAUGAGGGAUAAUAAAACAUACGGGGAAGGAGAUGGGGAACUGAGAUGUCAGUAUGAUUAGAUAGUCCCCUUGAAGAAUAGAUUAGAAAGAGGUAUGAAACUCGUAAGUAGGAGCCCAGCUCUAGCAUCCAGAAAUUCCACCUCAAGGUACCUACUUGGAGAAAUCUCUACACUUAUGCAGAGAAAAUAUAAACAGAGAUUUAAAUUAUAGCAUUGUUUGAAACAGCAAUAAACUGGGAAUGAUGCCUAUCAACCCACGGAAAAUGAGAUUUAGUUGUACUGAAAUGAAGAUUCUCCAAGAUGUGAUCAUUGUGUGAAAGACAAAGGUGUAGAAAAAUAAGUGUGACAGAAUGCCACUUAGAAGAUGGAAAGCCCUGCUCUCCAUUCUUCAGGGACCCAUAGUUAUGAAUGCAAAUACACGGAGAGGGUGGAAACCGCUGUCUCCCAGGAAAGAAGGCAGGGAGAGAGAGCACCUCCAAAGGUCUCUAGGUUUGACACAAAGUUUCAGUUUUUACAGAAAAUUAUGCAUGGUUAUCUGCACAAUUUUUAUAUUUGUGUAAUCAAACAUUCAAAGGGAAAGAAAAGACAGUGAGGUGGUAGAACAAUGAGGCUAUAUGCCUCAGUGCCAGCUCAGAUAUCAUUAUUUAGUUUGACAAUUAAGACAAAAGCCCCAACAUCUGCCAAGAUCAGUUACCAUGUACAGAAUAUAAACCUACCCACACUUCACUCAGAUAGGCUGAUAAUAGCAGUAUCACUUAGCUUUUGUUUUAUUGGGUUUAAAAAAAACAAGCCACCACUCCAACAAAAAUAAACCAUCUAUUUAAAACCAUAGCCCUUUUAUUUAGCUCCCAAAUCUGUGGGUCACCUGGGUGAUUUUUCUGAUCUGGGCCAACCAGGCUGCUAUUUGCUGGGUUUACCCACCAGUGUGCAGCCAGCUGGCAGCUAGGCAAUCUAGAAUCAUCUAACUUGUGUCUGGAAUGCGGCACCUUGUUUUCCUUAACGUGGCUCUUAUCCUCCAACAGUCUAGCUCAGGCUUAUUCACGUGGGGGUGUCAGAGUUCCAAGAGAAUUACUGAGAAUGCUAUAAUGCCCCUUGAGGCACAGGCUCUGAAAUUCACACACUGUCACUUCCACGACAUUCCAUUGGCCAAAGCAUGUAGCAAGACCAGCCCAUGUUCAAAUGGUGGGAAAUAGACUCGACUCUAUUCAGUGAAUAAAAAGAACAGCUCCUCUGUGCCAGGCCCUGUGUUAAGCAUUUUACAUACAUUUUCUCAUUAUCUUCUCACAGCAAGCCUGUGAGCAAGGUAUGGGUAUGUAGUUUCACUGAAGCACGCUGGGGGGUCAGGGAAUGGGCUCCACGAGGCCUUUACUCCUCCCACAGACUCUCUCCUGCAGAUGCCUAGAAGCCACCAUUCCUGAUUCCUGAUUUCACCUGCUGUGGGCUGGAUUGUGUCACUCUGAUUCAUGCGGUUAAGCCUGGAUUCCCGGUGUGGCCAUAUUUGGAGUGUGGGAGUAAUAAGGUUAAAUGAGGUCACAGAAUGAGCCCUGAUCUCAUAGGAUUGGUGUCCUUGUACGAGAAGACACCAGAGAGCUCACCCUCUCUCUCCACCAUCCAAGGUCACAGAAGGUGGCCAUCUGCAAGCCAGCAAGAGGGCUCUCAUCGGAAACCAAAUUGGCUGGCACCUUGAUCUUGGACUUCUAAGGCUUCAGACAGUGAGAAAUCAGUGCCUGUUGUCCAAGCCCCCCGUCUCUGGUAUUUUGUUAUGGCAGCCUGAGCACACUAAGACAUCUGUCUGUCCACUUUUAAAAUACAGUGUCCUCGAGCUGAUGGUUACACCCCCUCCUAAUUCUUCAAAGUGCACACGUUGUUUACUGCUCUCUUUCCCAGCAAGCCACACUUCAGUGUAAAGUUCCUAUGCAGCACCAGUCUCCACCCCCAUUUUUCUCUGCUUUUUUAUGAUUCCUCACUGUGCUUCCUCUGCUUAGAAGACACAGGUUUGGCAAGCACUGCUUAGACCCAACAGGUGUGUCCUAAGUCAAAAGAGAACAUCUCAACAGGAAGAGAAAUGGGUUUGAAGGCACCUUGACUGUUGUGUCUGCCAGAAACACUUCAAAGAUGACGAAAAUAAAGAGGAAACAGCACUCCACCUGGCAGUGCACAGGAAUGGCAUCUUAACCAGUCAAUCUGGAAUUACCUGGUCAGCACUACUGAGAUAAUCUGCCUAACAGACCCCUGCCUCGCCCUAAAGGAAGAUGACUUUGCCUGAAACACGCCACUCUUUGCUCGUCACUUGCUUGUCCUGCUCCCUUCGGCUUCUCAAAGUCUCCAAUUUGGUGGCAAUGGUGGUAUCUGAAAGAGACUUCCUACAGCUUUGGGGACUAUGAGAAGCAAAGCAUGGUCCUCAUGAACCCUUUGAGGUCUCUGUCUUUCUCAUCAUUUCCAAGGGCCGUGGAUAAGUUCCUCUGGGUUCUGAGCUCCCCUGUCUUUCCAUUGAGCUCCUGGUCUAAUUGUCUUUCCAGUCUACAAUCCCAAUUUGAUCAGAAACCCACCCCUUGGCUUAGUCUCCAGAUUCCAUGUUGAGAACUGCUGGUCAUUCAAUCCAGUUCCCCAUUUGUUUGGAAUCCCCGUCCACCGUCCCACUUGUUGAGGUCUGCUGGCUCAAGCCUUUCCCUAGUGCACAGGUGCACAUUAGGAAUGGCUGGUGGUGCACACAGGGGCUUCUAUUGGCCAAUCCAUUGUAAACAUCUGAUUAGUUAUCACUUGUGUUAAGGUGCACAUGAGGUUGUUGUUAAAGGGAAUCUCAAAAGCCAAAAGCCACCAAAUUUGACAGGCAUAGGUUGAGCACUUAACAGCUGUUAGAGUGCUUGCUACCUAACUCUAAGAUUCCUGUGUUAGGAUAAAUUGGUGACGGAAUAGGUUAGAUCAACACUAGCUCACCUCCCAACUCAAGACAAUUUUUGUGCAACAAAGGACACUGUAAGAUGCUACACAAUCCCCAACCCAGCAGCGUGUCUCUCUUGGGUAUUAGUUUGUCUUUGAGAGCCCCAAAGGCCUAGCCUCUGAAAAAAAAUGGGAUCCUUAAAUUCCAAAGACUUGCAUGUACCACCUCCCAGCACCUCUGCUUAUUUUAUGUUUAGGAACGAUAGUUCCAGAAUUGGAGAGAUCUACGAAAAUGGCAAAAUCUUAUUAGAAACAGCCUAGAAUUAUAAUGGCCAUUUAUGGAGGAUGUUCCAAUAAGACAAGGUCAUUCAUCAAGCAAGGGUUCCCCGAUCAAGCAGACAGAAUGGGGUACCUAUUUAAGUGGUAUGCAGCAGCUCCCAAAAGGCUUAAUUUAAAAAAGUAAUUGCAAAAGGCUAAUGAAAAAAUCAAAGACUCAAGAAGUACCUAAAACAAAAGAUAGUAACAUUGACGUGAUUCCUAUUGCUCCCCUCUCUCUUGCUUUACUUGAGUCCAUGGAUUCUACUUAUUCUCUCUCUGAACUGCCUUUCUACUCUGAAGAGACUAUUAAAUAGGUACCUUUAAGAUAAAGCCACUUGGGGUUGCAGGAGGUCCAACUCAGGUAUCUUUCACUCCACAGUCAAAGACUAAACUAAGAGCCACAAUUGAAUUUCCUAAACCCAAGGAGAAUCCCCAGAAGUUUUCUGAAGGAUUUGGAGUCCUUACCAGGCUGCCAGAUCCUUAUCAGCUUGUGCACAUUCUGAUAGGACCUGGUGAAGCGCCAGAGAUGGAUGUGGGGCAGCAGAAUGGUGUAACCCUGAGGAUGACAUCUGAGCACUUCAGUUAUUGACAUGGACCAGAAAAAACUUGCAAGAGAGCAACUGAUCCUUUAAAAGCCAUUCCUUGAGUCUUUCCUGCCUGCACUGGUUUCUCUAACAUUCAAACCUGCAAACAAAAGAAAGAUGAAUUUGUGGCAGACUUUAAAGCCCAUUUGGAAGCUCUCUGGUAUUCCUGGCUCCAUACAAUAAAUGAGGUCACCCAACCUGCUUUACAUUUCCUAUUUGUAAACGGAUUAUCUCUUGAGAUUACUGGAUCGAUAAGAAGGCAGAAAAUGUGAUGGGAGACCACUGGUCUGAGUGAACUCAUAACCAUAACUGAGCACUUGAAACAAGACCACAAACACAAGUCCCUCAAGCUAUUAGUCUUACACCUGCGAUAGCUCUAAGGCCAAAAACCUAAAAUAGCACCUGGGGUCUGUCAUCAAAAUGCUAGCCCAGGGGAGGCAACCUGAGUGUCUAUGAUAAAUGAAUGGAUAAAGAAGAUAUGAUAUAUAUACACAUAUGUAUAUCACAUACACAUAGAUAUACACACACAAUGGAAUAUUAGCUAUAAAAAAGA